rnacentral:rRNA from 1 species
AUUGAACGCUGGCGGCAUGCUUUACACAUGCAAGUCGAACGGCAGCGCGGGCUUCGGCCUGGCGGCGAGUGGCGAACGGGUGAGUAAUGCAUCGGAACGUGCCCAGUAGUGGGGGAUAGCCCGGCGAAAGCCGGAUUAAUACCGCAUACGACCUGAGGGUGAAUGCGGGGGACCGAAAGGCCUCGCGCUAUUGGAGCGGCCGAUGUCGGAUUAGCUAGUUGGUGGGGUAAAGGCUUACCAAGGCGACGAUCCGUAGCUGGUCUGAGAGGACGACCAGCCACACUGGGACUGAGACACGGCCCAGACUCCUACGGGAGGCAGCAGUGGGGAAUUUUGGACAAUGGGGGCAACCCUGAUCCAGCCAUGCCGCGUGAGGGAAGAAGGCCUUCGGGUUGUAAACCGCUUUUGUUCGGGAAGAAAUCCUCUGGGCUAAUACCCCGGGGGGAUGACGGUACCGGAAGAAUAAGCACCGGCUAACUACGUG